rnacentral:rRNA from 1 species
GGCAUCUUCUUGUUUUUAAAAGACCUAGCAAUAGGUAUGCUUAGGGAGGAGCUUGCGUCACAUUAGUUAGUUGGUGGGGUAAAGGCCUACCAAGACUAUGAUGUGUAGCCGGGCUGAGAGGUUGAACGGCCACAUUGGGACUGAGACACGGCCCAAACUCCUACGGGAGGCAGCAGUAGGGAAUUUUCGGCAAUGGAGGAAACUCUGACCGAGCAACGCCGCGUGAACGAUGAAGUAUUUCGGUACGUAAAGUUCUUUUAUUAGGGAAGAAUAAAUGAUGGAAAAAUCAUUCUGACGGUACCUAAUGAAUAAGCCCCGGCUAACUAUGUGCCAGCAGCCGCGGUAAUACAUAGGGGGCAAGCGUUAUCCGGAAUUAUUGGGCGUAAAGGGUGCGUAGGCGGUUAAAUAAGUUUAUGGUCUAAGUGCAAUGCUCAACAUUGUGAUGCUAUAAAAACUGUUUAGCUAGAGUAAGAUAGAGGCAAGUGGAAUUCCAUGUGUAGUGGUAAAAUGCGUAAAUAUAUGGAGGAACACCAGUAGCGAAGGCGGCUUGCUGGGUCUUUACUGACGCUGAGGCACGAAAGCGUGGGGAGCAAACAGGAUUAGAUACCCUGGUAGUCCACGCCGUAAACGAUGAGUACUAAACGUUGGGUAAAACCAGUGUUGAAGUUAACACAUUAAGUACUCCGCCUGAGUAGUACGUACGCAAGUAUGAAACUUAAAGGAAUUGACGGGACUCCGCACAAGCGGUGGAUCAUGUUGUUUAAUUCGAAGGUACCCGAAAAACCUCACCAGGUCUUGACAUGCUUCUGCAAAGCUGUAGAAACACAGUGGAGGUUAUCAGUUGCACAGGUGGUGCAUGGUUGUCGUCAGCUCGUGUCGUGAGAUGUUGGGUUAAGUCCCGCAACGAGCGCAACCCUUAUUGUUAGUUACCAGCACGUAAUGGUGGGGACUUUAGCAAGACUGCCAGUGAUAAAUUGGAGGAAGGUGGGGACGACGUCAAAUCAUCAUGCCCCUUAUGACCUGGGCUACAAACGUGAUACAAUGGCUGUUACAAAGGGUAGCUGAAGCGCAAGUUUUUGGCGAAUCUCAAAAAAACAGUCUCAGUUCGGAUUGAAGUCUGCAACUCGACUUCAUGAAGUUGGAAUCGCUAGUAAUCGCGAAUCAGCAUGUCGCGGUGAAUA